UGCUGUGUGACCUAAUGGAACUAUUCCUCAUU
rnacentral:piRNA from 1 species